ACAAUCCACAGGAGACACCCUGCUUCUCCCUGUUCCGUGGAAGAAGACAAGCACGCCGAGGCUGGCUUUCUCAAGAGCAUACCAGGAGAAAGCCCUUCACUGUCUCUGCAUUCGUCUGUACAUCCGUCAGCAGCAGGAGAACAAUCCUUCUGUAAGAACAUCUAGCCUGCAACCAAUCCAGCAUGCAUGCCCUACCAAGUCUCCAAGAACAAGCACAGCAUAGCUUAAAGAUUCCCAUGCCUCUCACCCUCCAAGGAGCCUGCUGGGGACUUCAUUUCUGCAUCAGGGACCAAGAGCAUAAGUCCAACUGCAAGCUCCUCUGUGUGCUGACCUGUUCUCCGCAUCACACUCAGAACCUUGGCUGGAAUGGCAUGAUUGCCCAUCUAAGCUCUCUCCAGUCAGAAGACCCAGAAUGUUCUCUGGGAAAGAGUGUGAUAAUUGGUUUCUGUUCUCCCUGAAUGCAGCACAGUGCUUGCCUUUAGUAUGUGUUCAAUAUCCACGAUGUGUAACACCACAUUCUGAAGUCUCCAGUGGCUGCAAACAAGAACAAUGCUUAUUGGGACUUUAAAAAAAAAAAAAAGUGACCUCUGCCUCAGUUUCUGCAUCUGCAGAGUGAAGAAAGACUCCAGAAGUGGGCUGACAGGAAGGAAGUACCUCAAAGCCAGUCCUGCAGAGGCCCUCCUAGAUAAGUGCUCUUUCUCUCUAUCUCUGGCCUGCUGAUCUGGCUAUCUGGGGACAUCCAUCCAGAAGGCUCCCUGGUGACAAGCUUUGCCCGCAAAGAUCCUAUCUCCCACCAACGGAACUUCAAAGGCAUCUUUAUCGUCAGGACCCACCUCAGGAAGGUGGAUUCCUAAGAAACUUCUCCUGGUAAGCCUUUUAUUCUGGGCCGACCAGGCACACCCGCCUGGCCUUAUCUGUAGUGUCCCUAAACUGUUGUCUUUCCAGGAAGGGUGUCUCCUAUCUACAGCCCUCCAGGAGGCAGAAGACCAGAAAGACCACAGAAGCCUGGCCUCCAAGGCUGGAGUCUCGGCUACCUACCACUCUUCAGCUGAUGCCUUGAGACAAAUAAGGCCACCUUUUAGAGAAUGUGGCUCCUGCAACUUCAUAAACUCCAGUAAUUAGGGCUGGGAUGGAAAUGAGGGUGGCCUGCAGAAUGUCUGCUUAAAAUGGUUCCUUGUAGCAAAAUAGUAGGGUGGUAAAGCUGGGGAGAAAGUUUUCCAGGAAGUUGUUCUGCAAAAGGUGAAACUGCUGGAUACAAGAGACCUUUCAUGCUGGUUGGGGAGGAUGGGAGCCAUCAAAAGUGAACAAGAGGAGGUAAGCAGGAGGCCCACUGCGGCAAAAGAUCCAUUCCUCGCCUGGGAAUAAGCUCAGUAGGGGUCUUCUCUGGGAGCUGAGCAGGGUGCUGCCAAGCUUGACAAGAUAACCUAAGUGCUGACAAAGGUCCUUGCCUUCCUACCAUUACCGGACAAGUGUGUGGAAGAGUACAAAGUGGAACUCCCUGCCUCCUUCCCUGAGGGCUCUGUAGUACCAAGGCUUUCUCUUAGAGCAAAUCCCACAUCUCUUCACAGCCAUAUGCCUAGAGUCUAGAGCAGGGCUUCAGGAGUGUCUUCAUAAAUCAACAGGAUGAACACGCUUAGAGGGAAGCAUUGGGGAAACAAUUAUCAGAAUCACCAACCACUGUGGUUAUGUGUGUCUCCUCCCUUCCCCUCCUUCUUCAGAGAGACACCAACACCUAGACACACUCACUUCACCACACUCCUACCAACCUUCAGUCUUAAAAACAUAUGUGGCAAGGACAUGAGAAUACUGGCCACAUGCUAGAUUCUGAUCUUUGCCAUGAAGACAAGUUUUUCAUGAAGACAGCCUUGGAUUAUUCAUUGAUGCCCUCAAUUGAUAAUGCCCUGUUUCCAUAGUAUCCAACUCACAGUGAGUUACAAGGAUGGUACUCACCCAGUUCAGCUUGGCUCCAUGGUACCCAUGCCUACUAGCAGAUUACUAUUUCCACCAGGGAAACUGCAAACACUUAGCUAUGAAGAACAAAUGCCCAGCAUCCCAAACAUCCAAGUAUACUUUGUACUUGGGGGUUCUAGGUUCAUCCCGGCUCUGUGUCUUACUUUCCCAGGCGAAUAAGCUUCAGGCUUGCCAGUGUACAACAUAGUUUUUAACAACAGCUGCCUUCCCCCAAACCUGGAUCAAGUCAAAGAGAAAGCAGGAAGCUUUCUAGAGUUAGCACAGAAGGUGCUAAAUGAUUAUAUUAACAUGAAUUACAGCUCCCAUGACCCUCAGAUCAGUCACAUCCAAAUACACCCAUACAGUCCCCAGCCACCCUGGUUUCUAUGAGCCCCACUCCUGUUUGAGACACUCUGCUUUGAUCAGUCAGCUGAAAUCUUGGUGCCAGGAAAUUCAACACCAGGGUCAAGAUCUAAGAAUGCAUCUGUCCUUAAGGUUGCACAAGCUGUGCCCUGCUCUGAAGUUUCAGCCUGAGGAACACGAAACAGUAGAGCACCUGGGAGUUAGGCCCCACACCCCACUUUCCUGAAAGCCUGUGGGGGGGCUGCCUGCAUGAGUGCACCUGUGUGUGCAAACUUCUGGUCAUGGCAGCACCUCAGCAAAGUCACUGCACACUCUUGCACACCAGGGAGAAUAAUAGGCUAUGGACUCCUAGACACAUCACUGGCCCAACUCUCAAUCUAGUUACCUGUAGUUAACUAGACACAGGGUAGCCCCGAUUUGUAGAAGACACACCUGAAACCCACGUGUGAGAAGGGGUUCAUAUCCCUAUCGGUACCUGUUUGCUCUUCCCAGUGCUUAGGAACAGAAUGUAAAUUCUGCCAAGGUUUGCAAAUAACUGUCAUUUGACAUCUCUGAAUCUAAGAGACUGUCCUAACUUCUAAGGUAGAGUCUGGCAGUGGUUUAAAAAGUUCCUUGAUCCUAUCUGAUGUCUACAGGGAAAAAUAGUGAUGGUGAUUGUGGUGAUAGGGGGGAGGAGGAAGAGGAGGAGG